UUGCUGAGUGUGCAUGCAUAUGUGCGUGUUUUGAACGAUUUUUGAAGUAUAUAUUUUUGCAAAUAUGAAUGAGCUGUGAAUUUUCAAGCCUUUAAUGUAUGUAUAAAUGACUUGCAAAUGCAAUGUUUAUUUUGUAAAAUUUAUUACUAAUAUUAUGCUAUUGUCAUAUCAUAAUAAUGUUAAUUUAUACAAUCUGAAAUCACUUCUGAAUUAAAAUGUAUAAUGUAAUUAUUAUUAUUAUUAUUAUUAUUAUUAUUAUUAUUAUUAUUAAAACAACAAAUGGAAAGGGUUAUGCUGCCUUCACAUGCUCCUCCAAUUGUCCUGUUUAAGGCCACCACAAUCAUUAGCUAGGCAACCUGAUAUAUUUUGGUCUCUACCUAUCAUUUCUCCCUAUUGUAAAAAUGUGUAUAAUUCAAUUAACUUUAGAUAUGAGUCAUGGUCUAUGGAUUAAUCGACUAAAAAUUAAGCUAAAAACGACAAGUCACUGAACUCACCAUUUUCGCUCGUGAAGGAAGCAUUAGUUCCGCGUAGCAACCAGUGCGCGAGGCAAACUUGCCUAGCAACUGGAAAUAUGGCAGACGAGCGGAAACAGUUUCAAAGGACCAAACGGAUUUUUAUAAACAAAAUAGACUCGUACUCGUCAAAACACAUCGCUAAGUAUUUGUCCACCUGCGCUGCUGGAGACUCCUGUGAAGAGCCUAGAGCAGGACAGCGCUUUCAGAUUGUAGGCACUGUUAUCAGUAAAGAUGAGAAAAGGAGAAGGUUUGCUCUGGAAGAAUACUCGGCCUUAAAACGAGACGAGCUCCUACAACACCUGAUGGAUUGUGAUGUUAUUGUGUAUAAUAUCUCAGAAGAUGCUGAAGCGAUUGAUGAAGCAACAUGGGCUGUUUCAGCCCUCCACAGUGAAAUUGAACACUUUACAUUUCCCAAGAUGUUCAUUUUGGUGUCAACGUUGAUGACCUGGGCAAAGACUAAACCAGCUGAUCCUGAUAGUCCUGAAAUUCCACUGAAGGAAGAAGACUACACACGGAAGAGGCCACAUCCAAACUUCAGAGAACACGCUAGUGCAGAGAAGCUUGUAUUGAAGUUGGGGAAAACGGAAAAGACCAAGCUGCGCACUUACGUUGUCGGUGCAGGGAUGCAGUAUGGCAUGGGAGAAAACAUCUUCCACUUUUUCUUUAAGGCAUGCUGGCUUGGUGAGUUGAGCAGCAUCCCAAUACCAGAGCCAAGCACUAAUGUCAUUCCUACCAUCCAUGUCUACGAUCUGGCUGGUGUAGUACAAAACGUCAUCGAUCGCAGACCCAAAAUGCACUACUUAAUUGCUGUGGACGACUCCCACAAUUCUUUGGAAGAAAUUGUAAAGGCCAUUGCAAAUGUGCUGGGUUCUGGAGAGGUUCAGAACGUCCCUGAUGACAGUGUGCACUUCACAAAGGAACUUACGCGAGCUGAUCUAGCUUGCCUAAGUAUAGACCUCCUCAUUGAGACAGCUUUGCUGAACAGGAGGCUGAACGUGCGCUGGGUGUGUGAAUCUGGACUUGUUAAGAACAUCGACCAUGUUGUGGAGGAGUUCAGACAGAACAGGUGGCUACUACCAGUCAAGAUUUGUCUCCUUGGCCCGCCGGCUGUCGGGAAGAGUUCAGUCGCAGCACAGCUGUGUAAACAUUACAAACUCCAUUAUAUUGGUGUCAAGGAGGCGGUUGAGGAGAAAAUAAAACAUUUGGAGGAAAUGCUUCAACAGAGUGAGGAGAAUAAUGAGACUGAGGAAACUUUACAGGCGACUCAGAAACAGCUCAACACUCUGAAAGAUGUUCUUUCCCAGAAUCAAGGUCAGUCUGAAGACCAGAAUAUUUUGCGCAUCAUCAGAGAGAAGCUUCACUCAAAGCCUUGUAGAAAUCAGGGGUAUGUUUUGGACGGCUACCCCUGUACACACGAGCAAGCUAACAAACUUUUCAAUGAUGAGGAGAAGGAACGGGGGGACUCCAGAUCACAUUUACUGCCACAUGAUGAAAAGAUAAUACCAGAGUACGUCUUUUCACUUGAUGCCACUGAUGAGUUUCUUAAAGAGCGAGCCCGGAACCUUCCACAGUCCGUAGCAGAGGAGAUGCAUUACACCCAGGACGAGUUCCUGCAGCGACUGUCCAUGUUCAGGGAUGCAAACACGGAGGAAGAAACAGUGCUCGACUAUUUCGAUGAGUUGGAGAUACACCCUGAACACAUUGAGAUCGACAGCGUGAAUGACCCUGAAAAUGAAGCUGUGAUUAAGAAAAUAAUCGAGGUGGUGGGAGGGCCGAGGAACUACGGCCCCACACCUGAGGAACAAGAGGAGGAGGAGAGGAAACAAGCUGUGGAGAAGCAGCAGCGCCUCAUGCAGGACACAGCCGAGCGUGCGCUCAGAGAGGCUGAGGAGGAGACCAGGAUGACUGCUCUGCUGGAGGAAUGGGCUGAAGCCAUUGUGUCCCUUUUAGAACAGGAACAGGAUGGAGGUGAAAAAGCAGGAGCAUGAGUUACUGGAGGCACGCUCACUUCCACUGAGACACUACCUGAUGAAGUAUGUCAUGCCGACUCUCAGAGACGGGCUUGUGGCGUGCUGCCAAGUGAAGCCUGAUGAUCCCAUCGACUUUCUGGCUGAAUAUCUUUUAAGAAACAACACAGAAGACUAGUCUGCCCUUCACUGGACCUCCACUGUUUUAAUUUAAUUUACCUCAAUUUAAGAACACAGUUUCUUUAUUUUAAUUCAACACAGCUCAGUUUAACGCAACUCAAUUUCUUUUUCUUUGCAGAAAUAAAUUUAAACUUUGUCCCAAAUUGUGUACUUUGCAUAA